AUGCCCUCGUUUGAAGGCUGUAAAGUCACCAGGAAGGAAAGGAAUGUGGCAGGCGUGACACUGCUAAAAGCACUGGACUCAAUCACACCGCUACCCACUCCACAGACAAGCCCCCGCAGCUGCCCCCGAAAGGCGGGUACAAGACUGGGGGUAUUGGCACUGUGCUUGCGGGGCAGGUGGAAACAGGCAUAGUGGUGACCUUCGCCCCAUGCAACAUCACCAUGGAAGUCAAGUCCGUGGAGAUGCACCAAGGCCCUGCCUGGUGACAAGGUGGGCUUCCAUGUGAAGAACGUAUCAGUAAAGGACAUCAGGCGAGGUGACAUGGCAGGACAGCAAGAAUGACCUGCCCUCAGAGGUGGUGAUCAUUCUCAACUACUUUGGCUGCAUCACAGCUGGCUACUCACCAGUUUUGUACCGCCACACAGCCCACAUUGCCUGCAAGUUUGCAGAGCUGCAAGUUUGCAAACCAGCACUUGGGCAAGAAAGUGGAAGAUAACCCCAGAGCUUUGAAGUCUGGGAACUUGGCCAUCGCCCAGAUGAUCCUGGGCAAGCUCAUUGUGUGGAAAGCUUCUGAGACAACCUGCCCCUCAGUGAGGCCCAACCGCACCUGGCCACCAGGGCUGCCCCUUCCUUCUUCUGGGUCCAGGAAGCCAGUUGGCCACCUGAGGCAGGCAGUGGAACCUAGUUGCAAGGAUCUGAGAGCCAGGAGACAACCUCUUACCUCUGCCUCCCUCCUUCCCUCGGGCCUGGUCAUGUGCACGUGUGCCGACCUCCCCCAUCACACGGUGAGUUCUGGUAGGCAGGGGUGGGUCUCACUCAACGCUGACUUUAACUCCUAG
rnacentral:lncRNA from 1 species